rnacentral:rRNA from 1 species
AGAGUUUGAUCCUGGCUCAGAAUGAACGCUGGCGGCGUGCCUAACACAUGCAAGUCGAACGAGAAAGUGGACUUCGGUCCACUAGUAAAGUGGCAUACGGGUGAGUAACACGUGGGUAACCUGCCCGGAAGUGGGGGACAACUCUUCGAAAGGAGAGCUAAUACCGCAUGACAUCCCGAGUACUUCGGUGCACGGGAUCAAAGUUUGCCUCUGUUUCAUGCAAACGCUACCGGAGGGACCCGCGCCCCAUUAGCUAGAUGGUGAGGUAACGGCUCACCAUGGCUCCGAUGGGUAGCCGACCUGAGAGGGUGAUCGGCCACACUGGAACUGAGACACGGUCCAGACUCCUACGGGAGGCAGCAGUGAGGAAUUUUGCGCAAUGGGGGAAACCCUGACGCAGCGACGCCGCGUGGAGGACGAAGGCCUUCGGGUCGUAAACUCCUGUCAAGAGGGACGAAUCCCUAACGAAUGAAUAAGUCGAUAGGUUGACGGUACCUCUGAAGAGCCC